CCUACGGGCGGCAGCAGUGGGGAAUAUUGGACAAUGGGGGGAACCCUGAUCCAGCCAUGCCGCGUGUGUGAAGAAGGCCCUCGGGUUGUAAAGCACUUUCAGUGAGGAAGAACGCCUGGUGGUUAAUACCCAUCAGGAAAGACAUCACUCACAGAAGAAGCACCGGCUAACUCCGUGCCAGCAGCCGCGGUAAUACGGAGGGUGCGAGCGUUAAUCGGAAUUACUGGGCGUAAAGCGCGCGUAGGUGGCUUGAUAAGCCGGUUGUGAAAGCCCCGGGCUCAACCUGGGAACGGCAUCCGGAACUGUCAAGCUAGAGUGCAGGAGAGGAAGGUAGAAUUCCCGGUGUAGCGGUGAAAUGCGUAGAGAUCGGGAGGAAUACCAGUGGCGAAGGCGGCCUUCUGGACUGACACUGACACUGAGGUGCGAAAGCGUGGGUAGUAAACAGGAUUAGAUACCCCUGUAGUC
rnacentral:rRNA from 1 species